rnacentral:rRNA from 1 species
AGAGUUUGAUCCUGGCUCAGGAUGAACGCUAGCUACAGGCUUAACACAUGCAAGUCGAGGGGCAGCAUGUUGGUUGCUUGCAACCAAUGAUGGCGACCGGCGCACGGGUGAGUAACGCGUAUCCAACCUACCCUUGUCCAUCGGAUAACCCGUCGAAAGGCGGCCUAACACGAUAUGCGGUUCACAGCAGGCAUCUAACGUGAACGAAAUGUGAAGGAGAAGGAUGGGGAUGCGUCUGAUUAGCUUGUUGGCGGGGUAACGGCCCACCAAGGCAACGAUCAGUAGGGGUUCUGAGAGGAAGGUCCCCCACAUUGGAACUGAGACACGGUCCAAACUCCUACGGGAGGCAGCAGUGAGGAAUAUUGGUCAAUGGACGAGAGUCUGAACCAGCCAAGUAGCGUGCAGGAUGACGGCCCUAUGGGUUGUAAACUGCUUUUAUAGGGGGAUAAAGUGUGCCACGUGUGGCAUAUUGCAGGUACCCUAUGAAUAAGGACCGGCUAAUUCCGUGCCAGCAGCCGCGGUAAUACGGAAGGUCCGGGCGUUAUCCGGAUUUAUUGGGUUUAAAGGGAGCGUAGGCCGUUUGGUAAGCGUGUUGUGAAAUGUCGGGGCUCAACCUGGGCAUUGCAGCGCGAACUGCCAGACUUGAGUGCGCAGGAAGUAGGCGGAAUUCGUCGUGUAGCGGUGAAAUGCUUAGAUAUGACGAAGAACUCCGAUUGCGAAGGCAGCCUGCUGUAGCGCAACUGACGCUGAAGCUCGAAAGCGUGGGUAUCGAACAGGAUUAGAUACCCUGGUAGUCCACGCGGUAAACGAUGGAUGCUCGCUGUUUGCGUCUGACGUAAGCGGCCAAGCGAAAGCGUUAAGCAUCCCACCUGGGGAGUACGCCGGCAACGGUGAAACUCAAAGGAAUUGACGGGGGCCCG